UGCUCUGAGUUCUUCUUUCUGGAUAAUAUGAUUUAUUCUCCUCCGCAUUUCUAAAAAGUAUAGAGCUCUUUUCCCGACACAAAUCUUUCUCUUUAUGUGUUUCAUCCCAACUCUUCUGCCAGGAUCAGAAUAAUCCUUCAAGUAAACUCAGUUUUACACGCUACCAGGCAGAUCUGUGUUCCUAGUGCUCAGACCUUGGGGCAGGAGGGGUGUUAAAGAAUGAAUUAGUUAUAUUAAGAAGUGCUGAUUUUUUUUAAAAUGAAGCUAAUUUCAAACAAGUCUCGUGCUGUCUGAAGAUUCCUGCAUUCUUGUAUUUUUCUUUAUAUCCCUCCUCCUCAGGAGCUUGAGAGACAUAUACUGCGGGACAAAUUCUGUCCAUACAAAUGUAUGUGAGUAGUUCACUGCUAGUGACUUCACUGAGAAUACUCAGGUAAAUCUAUCGCUGAGCACCCCAAAUCAACGUUUGGAUGAAACGCAGACGAUCUGGCGUCUGAAUUUCAAUUUUAAGACAAGUCAAAUAGCUCAACAGAAAAGUCCUUCAAAGAACAAUGAAAAAAAAAGAAAAGAAAAGAAAAGGCUUUGCUGAACGAGAGAACAGCAGGCAAGUGCAACUCAUGUUGGAAGCAGUCUCGCUUUUAUGAAUAAAGUCUGCAAAAUAUCAACCUAAAGUGUAUGU
rnacentral:lncRNA from 1 species